AUGAAUGAGUUUGAGACAAACCUUGUGUCAUGUGUUAUCGCACUCAGAUAUCGGAGCCUUGGAGAAUGUAAAAGAAAUGUUAAACGGGGGGGUGGCACGGGCGAUAACCUAGCCGCCGCCGCCCCCACUCCCCGCUCCUUCCUCGCUCCCCUGCCGCCGCUGGGGGAUGCCGACGGGCAAAUCUCGCUCGGCGGACGGCGGCGGCGGGGCCUCCUCGUCGUGUGGCGUGCGGCUUCGGCCCUGGACGGAGCUCCACUCCUGGUUGCGGCUGGGCGGCGGCGGGUCCUCUCGCCGGCGCAGGUAAGCCGGGGCGGCGGCCCCGGGCAAGGUGGCGGCGCUGCUCCUUCCGACUCUCUACUGAGGGUGUUCGGGGCGGUGCUACCGCCGCGGAUCUGA
rnacentral:rRNA from 1 species